UAGGGAAUCUUCGGCAAUGGGGGGAACCCUGACCGAGCAACGCCGCGUGAGUGAAGAAGGUUUUCGGAUCGUAAAGCUCUGUUGUUAAGGAAGAACGAGUGUGAGAAUGGAAAGUUCAUACUGUGACGGUACUUAACCAGAAAGGGACGGCUAACUACGUGCCAGCAGCCGCGGUAAUACGUAGGUCCCGAGCGUUGUCCGGAUUUAUUGGGCGUAAAGCGAGCGCAGGCGGUUAGAAAAGUCUGAAGUGAAAGGCAGUGGCUCAACCAUUGUAGGCUUUGGAAACUGUUUAACUUGAGUGCAGAAGGGGAGAGUGGAAUUCCAUGUGUAGCGGUGAAAUGCGUAGAUAUAUGGAGGAACACCGGUGGCGAAAGCGGCUCUCUGGUCUGUAACUGACGCUGAGGCUCGAAAGCGUGGGGAGCGAACAGGAUUAGAUACCCUGGUAGUCCACGCCGUAAACGAUGAGUGCUAGGUGUUAGGUCCUUUCCGGGACUUAGUGCCGCAGCUAACGCAUUAAGCACUCCGCCUGGGGAGUACGACCGCAAGGUUG
rnacentral:rRNA from 1 species